CGUGCCCUAAGGAAGAGGUGGGGCCGGCCAGUGGUCGCCGGUAUUUAUGGGUGGGUAGAGGGUCGGGCGUUAGGUUAGGCGUGGUGGCGAGGCUGCUUGCCUUGGUUGUUUAGGGGGUCGGCUAGAGCAGAGGCCAGCUGAGGUCGAGGGGGAGGAGGCCAGGAGGGGGUGGCGGGGUUCUACGUCUAGAAACACUUCUGUAACUGUCCGUUCUGGUAGUGGGAACUCCACCUCAGCAGACUGUGGUAACUGUUGCAGUUCCGUUUUUAGGUCCUGUUCCUCCCGUAGGGGGGCCUGGUCGUCGCGGAGUAGAAGCGACCGUUCGUCGACCUCCUGCCGUCCUGGGAACGACUGAUGUUGUAGGUCUUCCUCAGGUGGGAGGUGGAACAGGAGGCGGAAGCCCCUCCGUACGUCUAGAAACAGUUCUGGGAGUGACCGUUCUGUUAAUGUGAACUCCACCUCAGGAGUCUGUGGUAGCUGUUGCAGUUCCGGUUCUAGGUCCUGUUCCUCCCGUAAGGGGGCCUGGUCGUCGCAGAGUAGAAGCGACCGUUCGUCGACCUCCUACCGGCGUGGGAACGGCUGAUGUUGUAGGUCUUCCUUAGGUGAGAGGUGGACCACGAGGCGGAGGCGCCACCAGUCAUUAACGGCACCCACGAGACCACCCACGGGGACAGAAGGUACACUUCACAAUCAGAGUAAACACAGUUCAGGAUGAUAGUACAGACCAAAGUACCUGGUAGCUCAGGGGCACUCUACACACAACCAAAGCAAAUUUGUCAACGACCUUAUCGUCAUGCCAGUUCAUACUUAUUCACCUGAAACUUGAUUAGACGGAUACACAUAAAAUGACAAAAAAAAUUAUAGAAGGCCAAUUUAACCAACGGUGAAGAUCAAAAAUAAACCGUUAGAUGAAAACGCCGGAAAACACUAGACUUGACAUCGAAUUAAGGUAAGCUGAGGUCAAAUAAAUAAUGAUAAACCAAGAUUAUACAAAACAUCCAAGAAACAAAACGAAAACUCCUCAAACAACGUUACUUUUGUAUAACAAAGAAGAAAUUAAACCAAACACAAGUGAUAGUACACUACUUUGGAACUUUGUUAGAAUCCUGUGGAAGACUGUGUCACGACAAUAUGACACUUACUCUUCAGAAAUAAAAGACUACUACGAUUUACGACGAGUAACGUAUAACAACCGGGGGGAAAUAAAACAGUCUAAAACUUCAAAUCGACGUUCACAAGAACCAAACUGAACACAGUAACACACGAACAGAACCAACCCUAGGGGAGUAAAGUCACGAAAGUAUGUCACACGUACUAAAAUACAGCCAGGAAUAAAAGACUGAAGUAAGAAUAACACUAAACGACGACCCUCUUCAUAACUGUUACGACGAUUUAAAUUCCGAACAAAGAGUUUUGUAAGCGUCAACGUUCUCGAAAACGGAACGGUCCGAACUCUCGACUACGACUAUUAAGGAAGGAACCUACAGACUCGGAACAAUAAAAGGACCAGUUGUAACACAAAGUUUUACUCGAAGUCGUGACAUUUGUAUCAUACAAGUUAUACGGGGACGUAGCGUUUACUACUAUUUUAGUUCCGAACAAAGAGUCUUGUAAGCGUCAACGGCGCAUUCUCGAAAACGGGUCGGUCCGAACUCUCGAUUACGACAAACUAGGAACCUACAGACUACGUUACGACCCAUAUAUAUAAACGACAUCAAGGUAAACCACAAUUAAGUCACCCACCAUUACAUACGGGUUCCGAACAAAGAGUUUUGUAAACGUCAACGGCAGAUUCUCGGUUCGAAAUCGAUUACAACAAUCUAGGAAGGAACCUACAGAUCCCGUACAUACUCAGAGUAGAAGACAGAGGAAAACAAAAGAAGAAAACCAAGAUAGAAGGAUUAGGAACUAUAGCACAUAUAUAACCGAACUGUCACUAUUUUUUGUGAUUGUUUUGUAUGAAGGAGGCACUUCUUUAUAUUCUCGCAAAUAUCUAGUGAUUUCAUAUCACUAGAUUUGCUCCCUCAUCGUAGAAAGCCCUGACUAACGAGAAACACGGUACGACAGUUUAGAAGUUAAAACUGUAGGUGGGAGGUCUAAAGGAAGUUUUAAAAAAAACGUAAGAAAACAAAUCUAAUGGAUAUACAACUUUUAAAUCUCUGUACCUACAAAACACAUAAACAAGUACAAACAGGUCACUACUUUUCGUACAAUUAUUAUGGUAGAAAAC
rnacentral:rRNA from 1 species